rnacentral:rRNA from 1 species
GACGUAGGGCGCGAGCGUUGUCCGGAUUUAUUGGGCGUAAAGAGCUCGUAGGCGGCUUGUCGCGUCGAAUGUGAAAACUCGGGGCUCAACUCCGAGCUUGCAUUCGAUACGGGCAGGCUAGAGUUCGGUAGGGGAGACUGGAAUUCCUGGUGUAGCGGUGAAAUGCGCAGAUAUCAGGAGGAACACCGGUGGCGAAGGCGGCCGACUGGGCCGACCCUGACGCUGAGGCGCGAAGGCGUGGGGAGCGAACGGG